GCAUCGGUGGUUUAGUGGUAAAAUUAGCCGUUGCCAUCCAUCAUAGGACAGUGUCGGCUAGCCCCGGGUUCGAUUCCCGGCCGAUGCA
rnacentral:tRNA from 1 species